UGGGGAAUAUUGGGCAAUGGGCGCAAGCCUGACCCAGCAACGCCGCGUGAAGGAAGAAGGCCCUCGGGUUGUAAACUUCUUUUAUCAGGGACGAAACAAAUGACGGUACCUGAUGAAUAAGCCACGGCUAACUACGUGCACGCAGUCGCGGUAAUACGUAGGUGGCAAGCGUUAUCCGGAUUUACUGGGUGUAAAGGGCGUGUAGGCGGGGUCGCAAGUCAGAUGUGAAAUUCCAUGGCUUAACCAUGGACCUGCAUUUGAAACUGUGAUUCUUGAGUGAUGGAGAGGCAGGCGGAAUUCCGUGUGUAGCGGUGAAAUGCGUAGAUAUACGGAGGAACACCAGUGGCGAAGGCGGCCUGCUGGACAUUAACUGACGCUGAGGCGCGAAAGCGUGGGGAGCAAACAGG
rnacentral:rRNA from 1 species